UUUAUUUUUUGUUUAAUGAGAUUUUAAGGAAUUAAAAAUAUUUGAUGAAAAUAUGAUGAAUAUUGCAUUCUUUUAUACUACAUGUAUAUGUAUAUAUGGAGAUCGCAUGACCCCUUUUUUAUAUUAAACUUUGUGGGAUUUUUUUUUUCUUUUACUUAUUUUUUCUAAAGAGAAAAUCUUUUACAUUUUAAUUUUUUUCCACUUUCCUAAACGUAAUUGAUGAGAAUUAACCUUGGAGGAGUAAUCUAGGUAAACCUUAUAUAAUUAAGGCAAAUCUUUUAAAAUUCGGUUUCAAGAUAAAAUAACACGUGAAAUUUUUUUUAUGAGAAUUAAUCAGAAAAUGACACGUACAAUUUUUAUAUGAGAAUUAACCUGGUGCUGCCACAUCACUAACAUUUAAUCUGGGAGCGACACCUCAUCAAAUUGGCCUGAUGAGAGUUAUUCUUUUCUAAUAUAUAUUGAUAUUGAUAUUGAUUCGCCAUGCGUCAAUUUAAAUUGUAUGGUUGCCUGUGAAGAAAUGUGCGUCAAGUCGUUUUAUUUUCUCGUUUUAUAUUUUUAAAUGAUAACCAAACAGGGCUGCGCCUAGCGUGGGUCAGUUUCAAACUGAUCCACGGUGGUUCAAUUUUACUAUACCUAUGAUAAGACAAAAAUAACCUUCAUCCUUAAAUUUUUCCAUGUUUAUCCUCAGCUCAAAUUCUUCCUUAUUCAUCUUUUCUUCAUCUAUUGCCCACCGUUAUGCAUCAAAGCAUCAUGCUAGUGUCUUCAGGUGGAAUAAUGGAAUUACAAUUGGGGUUCUUGUGCUUUUCGCCACUGAAUUGGGUGCCUGGAAUGGUGUGGCAGUAGUUGUUGGUUCUUCUGGGUUGGAACCCUCAACAACCCUCUUUCUCUCCCAUGUUCUUCAUACAACAAUCAAUCUCCAACAACCAGAUCUGUGGCACACACUCUUUCUUUUCCCUUUUUCUUUGCUGCUUACACAAAUCAGGCAUGAGCAAUUUUGGAUCUGGGUUUUUCUCUUGAAGCCAUGCAAUUUCGGAUCUGGGUUUUGCUAAUGUGAUUUUGGAUCUGGGUGUUUGGAGGGGUGGCUUUGGGUGGAGUGGUUCAGAGAGAGUACUCUUUCGAAAUCUACGACCUCGUCAGCACCGCUUGCGCCGUCUCCACGGUCGCUGCCACCGUCGUUGACUACGGAUUCUCGCUGCGCGGCCUUCAACGCCACUCCGAUCAGUAUCGCCAAGAGAUUUCCCAGGUUUUCUGCAACUCGUUCUCGUAGUUUCCAAUCGGCACCGAGAAUUGCCAACAAAUUGAGAAAUAACUGUUUUGAUUUUGUGUUGAGAUGGUGAUCGAUUUUUUGGUGCUCUUCAGGUUCAUCUACGCUGUGCUGAGAGGCUUCUGAGGUUAUGCGAAGCCAACAAAGGGUUUUAUGUGAAGGCUGGACAGUUCGUUGCCGCGCAGAAAGUGCUUCAGGUGGAUCUGGCUUUGUGUACCUACGUUGUGGGUGGAUGUGAUGAUCGUGGCUUACUCCAUCUCCGGCGAGCUAGAUUUGACGGUGGUGAAGUUCUAGAUAUGAGUUUUUUGGUAGUGUGGCUUUGGGUGGAGAUGAUGGGUUUGCAUGUUGCUUCAACUUCGGACCUGGAAUUUUGGUGGAUCCAUGGUGGCGGUUCUGGUAGGCUGAGGGAGAUUAGCGGUGGCAGUGCUGGUAGGCUGAGGGAGAUUGACUGUAGUGAGGUUGAAGGAAGCAUUGGAAGAGACAAGGGUAUUUUAGUAAAGUUAUAUAUAUUUAAUUAAUGAAUUAUUAUUAUUAUGAGCU